AGAGAGAGAGAGAGAGAGAGAGAGAGAGAGAGAGCGUGCAAGGUAGUUCAGGAAAUUUAAACCACUUCAGUUUGAACUUUUUUUUUUUUACUCGUCUCCUUUAAAACUUUCCGUCCAGCCUCUCUCGCUCACACUUUUGUGUUGACAGUUACUUGAAAGUUUGUCAAACUUCGUAGCAAUGUGGUGACUGCAGUGCAACAGGCUGCAGGAAGACAGAUAUCAGGACAGAAGAGGAAAAAGUGCACCAGGACACUGACACAAGACCGGCUCGCUGGUUUGGGGGUCUCCGCCGCAGGACAGAAGGGGACAAACUGCCACCUGCCUCCCCUGCAGCUGUGUGUGAGAACAAAGAAGUCAACUAGAAGAGCUGUGAGCCUGUUACUCUGGACCAGCAGGUCCCACAAGGUGAAGUCAGUAUAAAGUGAGUGGGAGCCCUGAGAUGGCGACGCAGGGGCUGGCGGGCCGGCUCUUGGUGCUGCUGGCCGUGUUGGCGGUGGCUCAUGCCUCCAUCUUCCAGUCCAAUCAGAGACUGAAACCUCGGUUCCAGCGAGACCGGCGCAACAUCCGCCCCAACAUCAUCCUCAUCCUCACCGAUGACCAGGACACUGAAUUGGGCUCCAUGCAGGUCAUGAAUAAGACCCGGCGGAUCAUGGAACAGGGUGGAACGCACUUCUCCAACGCGUUUGUCACCACACCCAUGUGCUGUCCAUCACGCUCCUCCAUGUUGACCGGGAAGUACGCCCACAACCACAACACCUACACCAACAACGAGAACUGCUCUUCGCCCUCCUGGCAGGCCCAACAUGAGCCGCGCACUUUUGGAGUUUACCUCAACAGCACUGGCUACAGGACAGCAUUCUUUGGGAAGUAUCUGAAUGAGUAUAAUGGUACUUACAUUCCUCCGGGCUGGAGGGAGUGGGUCGCCAUGGUGAAGAAUUCCCGCUUCUACAACUACACUCUGUGCAGGAACGGCGUCCGAGAGAAACACGGAUUUGAAUACUCAAAGGACUACCUGACAGAUCUCAUUACCAAUGACAGCAUCAGUUACUUCCGUAUGUCAAAGAAGAUCUACCCUCACCGACCCAUCAUGAUGGUGAUCAGUCACGCUGCCCCUCAUGGACCGGAGGACUCGGCCCCUCAGUACACUACCGCCUUUCCCAACGCUUCACAGCACAUAACGGCCAGUUAUAACUACGCCCCUAAUCCAGACAAACACUGGAUUAUGCGUUACACCGGCCCCAUGAAGCCCAUUCACAUGGAGUUCACCAACAUGCUGCAGCGCAAGAGACUGCAGACGCUGCUGUCUGUGGAUGACAGUGUGGAGAAGAUAUACAACAUGUUGGUGGACACUAGGGAGCUGGACAACACAUACGUGAUCUACACAGCUGACCACGGAUAUCACAUCGGUCAGUUCGGACUGGUCAAGGGGAAAUCUAUGCCCUACGAGUUUGACAUCAGAGUUCCCUUUUACAUCCGUGGCCCAAAUGUGGAGGCAGGAGGCAUCAACCCCCACAUCGUGUUGAACAUAGACUUGGCCCCCACCAUCCUGGACAUCGCAGGGAUGGACGUUCCCCCAGACAUGGACGGCAAGUCCAUCCUCAAGCUUCUGGACACAGACCGCAUGAUGAACCGGUUCCAACUCAACAAGAAAGGAAAAGUGUGGAGGGACUCGUUCCUGGUGGAGAGAGGAAAACUGCUGCAUAAAGUGUUGAAUGAUGAGAAAGAUAUGGCCCAAGAGGAGAACUACCUGCCCAAAUACCAACGCGUUAAAGACCUGUGCCAGCGUGCAGAGUACCAGACUCCCUGUGAACAGAUCGGUCAGAAGUGGCAGUGUGUUGAAGAUGCCACAGGGAAGCUGAGGUUGACUAAAUGCAAAGGCAUGGCACGUCUGUCUGCAGUGCAGAAGCCAUCUGUAUCCAGCAUUAAAUCACAGAUUUAUCUGCAGAGCAUGAGCGCUGAUGUCAGCGUGAACUCUGAGCCUCAAGGCUGCAACUGCGAACCCAAAAGCUACAGACUGAGCACCUUCUCCAAGAAUAAGCUGCUUGCCAAAAAGAAACUGAAAUCACUGAAGAGCUACUCCAGGAACCGCUUUACUCGUGCUGCUUUCAUGGAGAUGGGAGGAGACCUGUACGCAGUGGACCUGGAUCAUGAACACCGACCCUCAGGCACCUCGGGCCCCAGGAACCGCAGCCUCAGGCAGAACACAGCGGACGAGGACGAGUUCAGCGGUGUGGGACCCACUGCAGUCAGCCAGACCAGCAACAGCCUCACUGUGCCCUCCUCUAUUAAAGUCACUCACAGAUGUUCCAUUUUGGCCAAUGAUACAGUAAAAUGUGACGUUGGUCUGUACAAAUCGCUGCAAGCAUGGAAGGACCACAAGCUCCACAUCGACCACGAAAUUGAAACACUCCAGACAAAGAUUAAUAACCUUCGUGAGGUCAGAGGUCAUCUGAAAAAGGCACGACCUGAAGAGUGUGACUGCAACAAAUACUAUUACCAAUCCAAGUACAAGAGUAAGCUGAGGAAAUACAAAGCAGGAGGUGUCCAUCCCUUCAGGAAAGGACAGGAGAAGGAUAAGAAGGCUUGGUUGUUGCUGGAACAAAAGCGCAGGAAGAAGCUGAGGAAGUUACUGAAGCGCCUGCGUAACAAUGACACCUGCAGCAUGCCUGGCCUCACCUGCUUCACACACGACAACCAGCACUGGCAGACCGCUCCCUUCUGGACACUGGGGCCGUUUUGUGCGUGCACCAGUGCUAAUAACAACACCUACUGGUGCAUGAGGACCAUUAAUGAGACACACAACUUCCUGUUCUGUGAAUUUGCUACUGGAUUCCUGGAGUACUUUGACAUCAACAUGGAUCCAUAUCAGUUGGUGAAUGCAGUGAACACACUUGACCGGUUUGUUCUCAAUCAGCUGCAUGUUGAGCUCAUGGAGCUCAGGGGCUGUAAGGGACACAAGCAGUGUAACCCUCGCACACGCAGCCUUGACAUGGGGGGUAAAGAGAGAAGCAGCUAUGAUGAAUACAGACAGCUUGGAGCUUAAACGUGAAUGUUGAAUAGUCUGAUGCACAUCACACACACCUAAAGGCAUCACAGGAAUACACUCCUCACACUGUCAAAUCAAGGAGAAGACCUCUCUGUCAAAGAGGAUUGACAUAAAAACUAGAACUGAUUUGAUAUCAAUUGUUUUUAAAGGAAUGUUUGGCUCUACUCUAGAAUAAGUCAGAAUGCAUAAUAAUAACUUAUUCAUCAGUUUGUAAAAAUAAAAACCAGGUAUUCAGUAAUGCACGUACAAUGGAAGUCUGUGGCGCAAGAUAUUCUGGUAUUUUUAAAAACACAUGAAUUCUUCUGUACAAAAACAAAAAUGCAUUACUUGUGUUGCACAGCUGUCUAAAACGCCCUUUAAUGCAAACUCUAGGUGGAUGAACUUCCAGUUACUAACCUGCAGGUGGCGUUUUUCACGUAAAGUGUCUUUCUGGUGUCCUUAACAUCAAUAAUGUAAAAAGUCACAAAGUAUCCUGUCUUUGCUCCACAGACUUAAUUGUAACUGUAAACCAUUUUUUGCUGUUUUUAGAGGAUGACCAAUGAAUUUUGUUGAUAAUUAGUUUGGGAAAACUAUUUUAAAAAAUGUGAAUGAAAUAUAGUGCUAAUAAUUGGUACAAAAUGAACAAUAAAUACUUAAGAUGAUUAUUGAAUAAAACUAAUAUAAUCAGUUUAUAAUAUUGUAAUAUGAAAUAUAUGUAUGAUGCACAAAAAAGGGCUAAAGAAAAAAAUCUAAAAAUUGUUAACUGGUGGCACCAAUUAAUCAGUAAAAUCAGUAACAGCAAACCUCAAACAAUCUCAUAUUAUUUUCUGUGGUGACUGGCAGGACAGAGAUUAACUAAUGAACCCAGAACAUUUAUAAAAUGGCAAAAAGCUAACAUUACAUUAACACUGUCAGACUCCAGGGGGGGAAAAUGUUCAUCCAAAAUAUGGGAAACAUUUUUUGAAACAAGUUUAAACAGAAAAGCAACUAAAUAAUAUAAAAUAAAGAAUAAAAAUAUCGAAAAAAAAAAUUGCAUGCAAAAUGGAUGUGAAGAAAUUGGAACAUCAUACAUGAUUAACAAAUCCCCAGGCCAGGGAAACAUGUAAUAUCAUAGAGGUUUAUUUAUAUCACACUGCCAUUCAAAAGUUUGGGGUCAGUACAUUUGUCAUUACAUUACCUUUUUUUAAGCUAAUAGUUAGUUCUUAUGAACAUCAUGAGCAACCAAACCCACCCAUUCAGUAUGUGGGUCCAAUUACAACCAGUUCAAGUCGCAGUUACUUCCUUGACAGAUCAGAUGUCUUCUCUUUCAGAUUCUGUUCUCUCUCUCUGUCUUCGCCUUUCUAGUUUUGUCUCCCUCUCUCUAGCCCUGUUCUGUGCCUUGCAUGUAUUCAGCCUUGGGUGUUGUGUGAAUGUGAAAGCCUUUGAGUUCUCUGAUUGGCUCUGUCUACCAUUAUGCUUGAGUUUGGGGGCGGGGUAACAGUUUGUCUUAUCGUUGCUUGUCGCAUUAGGCAGUUUCAGCGCCGGAAAUGGCCUAAAGUGAGGAAGCCUGUCUCCAAAUCGCUGGGACAGAUAUGGGAAGGAUGGGAAGGAUAACUCAUGGAACGAGGACGUCCAGGAAGACACAAACAUGUUUCCUGGUGAGCCAAACCAGUCCGAAC